rnacentral:piRNA from 1 species
AGUCUAUAGUUCAAAUACAGAGCACUUGCCA